AGCAGGUGUGGAGCAUAGCUAGCUGGCCGUGGGGUCUGCUGGACUCCGAGAUGACUGAGCGUGGGGUGACAACCCCUUUGUAGCCAGAUGCUGUUUCUUCUGAGGGGAGGAAUAGGCUGCCUCAGGUCUCAGAUACCCAGGCAUAUAGGUAACAGAGAAACAGGACACCCUAUGGAGAAGUUCCUUAAGGAAGAACACCUCCAGGGACAGAGCACACUGGGGCUGAGGCGACCCCUGUGAAAGGUUCAUUCAACAACCUCCCUACCAAGGGCUUGAGACCCACACGGUGAGACCCACACGGUGAGGCCCACACGGUGAGACCCACACGGUGAGAACCACACGGUGAGGCCCACACGGUGAGGCCCACACGGUGAGAACCACACGGUGAGACCCACACGGUGAGACCCACACGGUGAGACCCACACGGUGAGAACCACUGCUGUAAGGCGCCUUGUGAAGAAGGGAGAGAAGAGCCGUUGAUUAGUGCAUCUGACUAGGGACUUGCAUUUUGAACAUGUAAAAGCCAGUAAUCCAAAGACAGGUAAUUUAAACCUAGGAAGGGACUUGACAGGUGUUUUUCCAAAGAGAUGUACACAUGUAAGAAGCCAGCAGGUACAAGCAAUUGUACACACGGUUAGCCAUGAGGGGCUGCUGUGAGACAACUGUGUCAAAGUCUAUUCCACAAACACGUGGACGGCUUCAGCCACAAGCCUCACAUGCUGCUUGUGGGAGCACAAUAUAGAGACAUUUUGCACAGAUGACAGUUCUUCCAAAGGCCAAGCACAAGAGUCACCGACCCAAAGACGCUCUUGAGAGAAAUGAGCA
ensembl:processed_transcript Gm13562 predicted gene 13562